rnacentral:rRNA from 1 species
AGAGGGGGCAAGCGUUAUUCGGAAUUAUUGGGCGUAAAGGGCGCGUAGGCGGCCUUGCAAGUGACGGGUGAAAUCCCUCGGCUUAACCGAGGAACUGCCUGUCAAACUGCGAGGCUUGAGACCGGGAGAGGUGAGUGGAAUUCCCAGUGUAGCGGUGAAAUGCGUAGAUAUUGGGAGGAACACCAGUGGCGAAGGCGGCUCACUGGACCGGUACUGACGCUGAGGCGCGAAAGCGUGGGGAGCAAACAGGAUUAGAUACCCUGGUAGUCCACGCCGUAAACGAUGAGUGCUUGGUGUAGCGGGUAUCGACCCCUGCUGUGCCGAAGUCAACACAUUAAGCACUCCGCCUGGGGAGUACGGUCGCAAGGCUG